rnacentral:lncRNA from 1 species
GAUACCUACAGCCAUUCUCCCCUACGAGUGCUUCCUGGUGCUCUUGGGAGCUAGCGCCAAAGAAACAGCCGGGACUUCAGGGGAUGGCCAUCUACACUGGGAGACCCAGUGUUAGCAGCCAGUGCCUAAUGGUAUGCCCAUCACUGUGGUCCUGCUCCCACACCCACUGGGCCCUGGAUCUCAACUGGACUGGGAGCUGAGGGGGAGGGAGUGUGGCUUCCUCGCUUAUUCCCGCUCCCCCUCCCCACACCCCUGGGUCUCCUCAGCCCAUUCCAUUCUGAGGUCAAGGACUGAACUUGCCCUGUCCUCCACAUGCCUCCUGAGCUCAUGAGGAAAUCUGCCUGCCAAACAUCUGCUAGCGCUUUGGGUGCCGGGAGGAGGUAGGGCGCCGGCUCUCCAAAUUGCUCCUAGCACUUUUCCCAGGCUCUGGGCUGCAGCCCUACCUUAUUCAGCCCAACUGGGACCUAGGCAGCUCCUAGCAGAGUCACUGAGAUGGCUGCCCCUAGGUCAGGCCUGGAUGCCAGGGAUGCUGUGUAAGCUGCUGAGCUCCCAGGUCCCAGGUGACUGCAUGGUGGCCCUGGGCUUCAGCAUGCAUGAACUUAGUCUGCUGCACCUGCAAUCUCACAUGCAACAGCAACCUGGCGUGGCACCCCAUCUAGUCGAGGAGUUGUUCCUUGGGGAUGUCCCCACAGAAUGGGCAGAGAGACAGCACUGCCAUCCCACUGGCUACCAGUGUCCCCUGCAAAGUGCUCUGGUGAGUAUGGAGCCCUCACCACACUCCGCCCUGCCUGGCUUGCAGUCUUGUUGUCCGCUCCGACCAGCACCACCCGACCAGCACCACCCGCCUGUGCUGCCUUCCCGGCCAGGUCUGCCGCUGCGCCUCAGUGGCCACUGGAUCAGCGUGAGCUGUGAAGCAAGGCCAGCGGUGCUGUUCCUCGUAUGGGCUUCAGGUUGAACGACCAUCAACUUUCCUGGGAAGGGUGCUACCAUCAUUUCUCUGACCCUGCCUGCCGCCAGACUACCUUCACGGUGUUUGCAGCUGGCCACUACUCCAGAGGCAGCCCGUCCCCCAGGGUCCACGGUGGCACUGAGCUGAUGUUUGAGGUUACUCGGGUCCAUGUGACCCCCAUGGACCAGGUCACUACAGACAUACUCCACUGCUCCAAGCCAAGCAGCUGUGGUGGCCCAGGGUUCUGGUCAGUAAAUACUGAGAGGGAUGUCACAGCCACCAACGGGUGCCUGCCCUUGGGCAUCAGGCUCCCACAUGUAGAGUAUGAGCUGUUCAAAACGGAACAAGACCCCCAUGGGCAGAGCCUGCUCUUCAUUGGACAGAGGCCCACAGAUGGAUCCAGUCCUGACACUCCUGAGAAACGUCCUAUCUCCUUCCAGCCCCACCCCCCUCUGCAAGAGGCAGGCCCAAGAAGCCCCCAGACCCUCACAGCAGGCCUCCAAUGCAGAAGCUCUCUAUUGGGUGGGCACCGUAUCUUCCUGUCAUCUCUCUCCCCAUGCUACUCCUGA